rnacentral:rRNA from 1 species
UACGUAGGCAGCAAGCGUUGUUCGGAAUUACUGGGCGUAAAGGGUGCGUAGGCGGCUUUUUAAGUUUGGUGUGAAAUCUCCCGGCUCAACUGGGAGGGUGCGCCGAAUACUGAGAAGCUAGAGUGUGGGAGAGGAAAGUGGAAUUCCUGGUGUAGCGGUGAAAUGCGUAGAUAUCGGAAGGAACAUCAGUGGCGAAAGCGGCUUCCUGGACCAGCACCGACGUUCAGGCACGAAAGCGUGGGGAGCAAACAGG